rnacentral:lncRNA from 1 species
AUGUCAUGCUUGGCCGUGGCACUUCAGGACAGAYCUCCCGGCUACCCUGAGCCAGCGGCCGGCCGGGGGCCGAGCGGAGCCGGGGCGCCGAGCGGAGCCGGGCGCCGAGCCUCUGCCCACGCAGCCGCCGGAGGGGCCGCUUACCGCUCGCACCGCCUCCCGAGCGGGCAGGAAAGGGCAGGCUGCUCGCCGCGGGCAGUUCCUCCCCUCCUGCGAGCCCACGCUGGCGCAGGGCGAGCCCAAGCCCUGCUUCAGGAGUCCCUCUGCGGCGGGGCGCUCGGCGGGGCCCUCGUGAGGCGGCAGCGACCCGCUCGCGUGAGGCGGCAGCGACCCGCUCGCGUGAGGCGAAUCGGCCGCCGAGCGCCGCCGCGCGCGGGACGGUGGCGGUCCCUCCUCAGCGCCGAGCCCCGGCGCUCUCCCCUGGAGCUACCAUACGAAGUGCGCAAAGGGGGUGUAAAAGCAACCCCUUCCCUCCUUCGUUCACCCCCCAGCCCCACUGCCUGCGGAGCCGGUUCCGAAGGCGGCAGCACCCCCCCCCCCUUACCUGCAGGUGAGAGCAGCUCGCCUUCGCUGAGCUCCCCGGAGUCCGAGUCCAUGCUGCAGGUACCGGCGGGGAAGGGGCCGAGGGGGCGCUGGGAGAGGGCGGCGUGCGGCCGGCCGCCGCUAGCAGCAGCAGGGGUGCCCGGAGCAGGGAGCGAGCGACGAGCAGAGCCUGCUGCCGCCUCCUCCUCCUCCUCCUCCUCCUCCUCCUCCUCUCCUCCCAGCCUGGGCGCUGGGUCCGUGCCACCACAUGCAGCCACCUCGCUUAGUGCCAUUGGCUGCAAAGGAGGAGCGGAGACUGGCGGGCCCCGCCGGGGGGAGGAGGGAGCGGGGGCGCGGCGGGGGAGCGGUUUCUCUCCCGAGCUCCUUACACAAGUUCAUCUCGACACCGGCUGCCUCUUCGCCGGCUGCUCUGGCCGCACGCUGCGGCUGGCUGCCGCGCCGGGAAGCGGGCUCGCGGGCUGCGCGGCUGCGGCGGUACCGCGGGGCUGCCGGCCGGCCGGGCGGGAGUGCGCGGCCUCCCCACGCGUGGCAGCUCCAGGCUGGCUCCUGAAAGUGGGCUUCGCAGCGCGGAAAGGACCGAAGCGACAGUCCUUCACACUCAGAAAUGGGCCUCCUUUGCUGUUUCCUUCUCUCCCGGCCCCACGCAGCUCGUGGGGCUUGAGGCUGCCCUUAUGUCUUCCUUUUUCCCUAUUUCUUUUCCACCGUCUCUCUUUCUGA